GGAGGACGAGGCUGCGAGCGGA
rnacentral:miRNA from 1 species